CCUACGGGAGGCAGCAGUGGGGAAUAUUGCACAAUGGGGGAAACCCUGAUGCAGCCAUGCCGCGUGUAUGAAGAAGGCCUUCGGGUUGUAAAGUACUUUCAGUCGUGAGGAAGGCAUUGUAGUUAAUAGCUACAUUGUUUGACGUUAGCGACAGAAGAAGCACCGGCUAACUCCGUGCCAGCAGCCGCGGUAAUACGGAGGGUGCGAGCGUUAAUCGGAAUUACUGGGCGUAAAGCGCAUGCAGGCGGUUAGUUAAGCAAGAUGUGAAAGCCCGGGGCUUAACCUCGGAACAGCAUUUUGAACUGGCUAACUAGAGUCUUGUAGAGGGGGUAGAAUUUCAGGUGUAGCGGUGAAAUGCGUAGAGAUCUGAAGGAAUACCGAUGGCGAAGGCGGCCCCCUGGACAAAGACUGACGCUCAGAUGCGAAAGCGUGGGGAGCAAACAGGAUUAGAUACCCUGGUAGUCCACGCCGUAAACGAUGUCUACUUGGAGGUUGUGGCCUUGAGCCGUGGCUUUCGGAGCUAACGCGUUAGUAGACCGCCUGGGGAGUACGGUCGCAAGAUUAAAACUCAAAUGAAUUGACGGA
rnacentral:rRNA from 1 species